rnacentral:misc_RNA from 1 species
UUAAAAUCUAAAAUUUCAAUUAAAAAUUUUUGAAAUAUUUAUAAAAACUAUUAUAUGUUAAGAUUUAAUUAUAUUUAUUUUAAUAAUGAUUUAUAAAUUAUAUUAAACUACUAAUUAUAAUAAUAUACAUUGUUGUUGUUUAUUAAGAGAUUGUUAAUUUUAUGAUAUUAAUAUAUAAUGAAUUUAUAUUUACUAGUAUACUAGUUAAACUCUGAUUGAACUUAAGCUUUUAAUCAUCUGCCUUUACUGGUUCAAUAGCCAGGCCAAGUUUAAAAACCUCACUUUGACCAAUAUAAUGUUCAUUACGUAAACAAAUGUAUAUAAUCCUUUUUUCUUUGUUUUAUUUAUUUUAUUGCCACAAUUUUUUUUUUAUUUUUCCAUAAUCAUCACCCCAUCAGGUAAUCGUUGCCGUUGCUGUUGCUGUUGUCACCGCCUAGCAACCAACACCACCAACAGCAGUCACCUAGCAUUGCUAUCAUAUCACUCUAUCAUUAAUACCACCACAAAUAAACUAAAUAUUGGAAUAA